ensembl:lncRNA
CAUGAAAAAAAACAUAAGGGGUAACACUGUUGUUUUUUAUUGGUCGUCAUGAAAAAAAACAAAGGGGAUAACACUGUAGUUUUUUAUUUGUCGUCAUGAAACAAAACAUAAGGGAAAAAAUAGAUAUGAUUUGAUGAUUUUUUUCGAUGUCUUGAUGGUGCAUUGAUUAGCUCGGAGGUUAACACUCUAAACAGCUCAGGUUCGGAUCCCUGCAAAAAAGCAAAAAUCCCCAGUAACCCUGUUCAGUUUUAUUGCUCGUCAUGAAAAAAAACAUAAGGGGUAAAACUGUUGUUUUUCUUUUGUCGUCAUGAAAAAAAACAUAAGGGGUAACACUGUUGUUUUUUAUUGGUUGUCAUGAAAAAAACAUAAGGGGUAACACUGUUGUUUUUCUUUGGUCGUCAUGAAAAAAAACAUAAGGGGUAACACUGUUGUUUAUCUUUGGUCGUCAUGAAAAAAACCAUAAGGGGUAACACUGUUGUUUUUUAUUGGUCGUCAUGAAAAAAAACAUAAGGG